rnacentral:rRNA from 1 species
UGCCAGCCGCCGCGGUAAUACGGAGGGUGCAAACGUUGCUCGGAAUUAUUGGGCGUAAAGCGUGCGUAGGCGGCCUAACAAGUCUGAUGUGAAAGCCUGGGGCUCAACCUCAGAAUGCCAUUGGAAACUGUUAGGCUUGAGAACAGGAGGGGCAAGUGGAAUUUCUGGUGUAGGGGUGAAAUCCGUAGAGAUCAGAAGGAACACCGGUGGCGAAGGCGACUUGCUGGACUGGAUCUGACGCUGAGGCACGAAAGUGUGGGGAGCAAACAGGAUUAGAUA